rnacentral:rRNA from 1 species
UACGGAGGUUCCUAGCGUUGUUCGGAAUUACUGGGCGUAAAGGGAGCGCAGGCGGACAGGCAAGUCUGGAGUGGAAGCCCGGGGCUCAACCCCGGAAGGGCUUUGGAUACUACCUGUCUUGAGUUCGUGAGAGGAAGGCGGAAUUCAGGGUGUAGCGGUGAAAUGCUUAGAUAUCCUGAGGAACACCGGUGGCGAAAGCGGCCUUCUGGCACGAAACUGACGCUGAGGCUCGAAAGCGUGGGGAGCGAACGGGAUUAGAUACCCCGGUAGUCCACGCCGUAAACGUUGUGCACUAGGUGCGGGAGGUAUCGACCCCUUCCGUGCCGCAGUUAACGCAUUAAGUGCACCGCCUGGGGAGUACGGUCGCAAGACUGAA